GACAGAGGGUGCAAACGUUGCUCGGAAUUACUGGGCGUAAAGCGCGUGUAGGCGGGCCGGAAAGUCGGGCGUGAAAUCCCUGGGCUCAACCCAGGAACUGCACUCGAAACUUCCGGUCUAGAGUGGUGGAGAGGGAAGUGGAAUUCCGGGUGUAGUGGUGGAAUGCGUAGAGAUCCGGAGGAACACCAGCGGCGAAGGCGGCAUCCUGGACUGGUCCUGACACUCAGGAGCGAAAGCGUGGGGAGCGAUCCGG
rnacentral:rRNA from 1 species